rnacentral:rRNA from 1 species
UUUCCCUCAGGAUAGCUGGCACUCGCUUGAGCGAGUCUCAUCUGGUAAAGCGAAUGAUUAGAGGCCUUGGGGCCGAAACGACCUCAACCUAUUCUCAAACUUUAAAUGGGUGAGAUCUCUGGCUUGCUUGAACAUGAAGCCACGAGACGAAUUUCGAAUAUUGGAUCAGAGUGCCAAGUGGGCCAAUUUUGGUAAGCAGAACUGGCGCUGUGGGA